UCCGGAGGGUGCAAUCGUUGUCCGGAUUUAUUGGGUUUAAAGGGUGCGUAGGCGGGUUAUUAAGUCAGUGGUGAAAGUCUGCGGCUCAACCGCAGGAGUGCCAUUGAUACUGGUAGUCUUGAGUACAGUAGAGGUAGGCGGAAUUUAUGGUGUAGCGGUGAAAUGCAUAGAUACCAUAAAGAACACCGAUAGCGUAGGCAGCUUACUAUGCUGUAACUGACGCUGAGGCACGAAAGCGUGGGGAUAGAACAGG
rnacentral:rRNA from 1 species